rnacentral:tRNA from 1 species
GGGUUGAUUCCAGAGCGGUCAAAUGGAGUGGAUUGUAAAUCCGCCGGCUUAGCCUUCGUUGGUUCGAAUCCGACUCAACCCA